AUAAAAUUCGUACCGUCGGUCUACCGAAGAAUUUCACUCGUUCGGUGGAAGAACGUCCCUUCAUCAA
rnacentral:pre_miRNA from 1 species